GCGGGCGCGCAUGCGCUCCGGCCCUGCGCUGCGUCUCCGCCGCUGCCCGAGCGAGGGGCGCGGAGCGGCUGCUGUCGCCGGAGCCGCCGCAGUCAUGGGGCCGCCGCGCCGCCCGCCCGCCCGCGGCCCGGGCCGCCGCCUUCUCCUGCCGCUGCUGCUGUCGUGGCUCGCUGCAGCGCGGGCUGAGGACACGUGUAUGCCUCCAGAGAGGCUGCAGUAUGCAGAGCUCACGGAGAGCUUCAACACAAUGACGAGCUUCCCUGUGGGGACCACGGUGUCGUACGUCUGCCGGCCGGGAUACAUCGGCAUCCCUGGGAAAUCCUCGAGCCGUACGUGUGGGGAGGACUUACAGUGGUCACCCGUAGAGCAGUUCUGUACAGAGAGAAAAUGUAACCAUCCAGGAGAAUUACAACAUGGGUUUGUUAAAGUGACAGAUCUUAAAGUUGGUUCCAGUGCUACUUUUUCUUGUGAAGGAGGAUUCAGAUUACAUGGAACUGAUACAAUUUCCUGUGUGAUUCAGAGUAAAGGUGUUGGCUGGAAUAGAGAUCUUCCUUUCUGUGAAAGAAUUCCUUGUGAGCCACCUCCAAGCAUAGCCAACGGGCACUACACUGAAGCAGCCAGCUACGCUUACCAGAGCACAGUAACCUACGAGUGUGAUGAGGUACCAAAAGGCGCGGAUCCCUUCUCGCUCAUCGGCUCAGCUACUAUUUUCUGCACGUACAACACACAGUCAGAAGGAGUUUGGAGUGGGCCACCUCCACAAUGUAGAGUGGUCAGAUGCGAUAACCCAAAAGUUGCAAAUGGCAAAAAAGUAUCUGGAUUUGGGCCUUCUUAUACCUACAGAGACUCAGUCAUGUUUGAGUGUGAUCCAGGCUAUGUCAUGAUGGGAUCAGAGAUAAUUACCUGUGGAGAAAAUGACACCUGGUCUCCUCCAAAACCAACUUGUGAAAAAAUUAAUGAAGAUGUAUGUGGUGCCCCAAAGAUCACACAUGGAGUGGUGAUUCCAGCAAAAUCUGUGUAUGAAAGAGGAGCAUCUGUUCAGAUAAAGUGCAAUGCUUACUGUACUUUUCCUGGUGGUGCUGGAGAGAUGACAAUCACUUGUCAAGGCUUGAAUACAUGGAGUUCUUUGCAAGACUGUGAAUGUGAGCCUAAAGGUUCUGGUUUCACUCCAGACAUAAAUUAUGGUAGAGUAAUUGAGGGACAAAAGCCUUCCUAUUCUGUUGGGGAUUUUAUUACAAUUGAAUGUUACUCAGGCUACACGUUACAUGGUGAACCUCGUAUUCAGUAUAUUGGAGAAAACAAAUGGAAUCCUGGAGUGCCAACUUGCCAAUUAAGUGCAUAUAUUACAGCCAUCAUCUGUGUGAUUGUGGCAAUUGUGGUGUUCCUGGCAGCCUUCUGGGUCUAUAAGAAAUUCUUUUCACAGAAUGGGUGUGUUUCAUAGCAGUACUGUUCUGUGGCUUCUUUCAGUGGAACAUCUCAAAGCCUUCCAUGGGCUUCAUACUGCUUUAUACAUGUUACAUAAGAUAAAGGCAAAAAGGGAGGUGAUCCCUGUCUCCCCCGUGGAAGGGAGCUUCCUCCCUAGCCUGAGACCUUUAGUCUGCAGGAACAAAGCAAGCCUGGAUCUCACAGACCUGAUUUUUCACAAUGUGCAGCUUAUAAACUAAGGCACUUCAGGGGCUUCCCUGGUAAGCAGAACAGCUCUUUGCAUCACCCUGGGUGCAUCAUAAAUUUCUUUCCUCUGUUUUCAAAUCACAAAGUGAAACUCUUGGUUCAUCAGACUCUCGUCUGCCUAGGAGCCCGUAUUCCCAUUUUACAAGCAGAAAGUCUGAGCCUGAUGCAUCAUCCUCACAGUCAAGGAGUGAGUCAGAGCAAGGCCAGGUGCAGGACAGAGGGGUGUGACAGUGCAAGUGAUGACCUGUAAGGGGAAUUGAAAUGAGUGAACUUCUAAGGUUUCAAAAAAGCUUCCUCAGCCCGGGGGAGCAUGUAACUGCAUCUGUUUGUUGUGCAGUUCUGUUACUGUGUGGCGUUGCGUGGGUCAGGUAUGGACAAAUGUGCCCUAACUUGCAGCCUGAGCCAGCCAUGAGAGUGCAGUGCUUUCUGUGUAGCAGCAGCACUGACCUAGGCUGAGGAAAGGCAGGGUAGCAGCUGCAUUGCUUAGGGAAGCUGCUGCUUGUGCCUAGAAGAUGGCUCUAGAGGUGCUACUGCUGUUACAGGCAGCAAAAUCAUGUACUUCUUGUGAAUGUGUGGAGAUUUUAUUUUGAUUAGGACCAGAAUAAAAACCCCAGAUGGCAUCCCCAAGUCAGAUGUAGCCUGUUCCUUUAGUCCUACUAUUGUGGCCUUACAAUUGCAGUACAAAUCAUGAAAUUAAAAGCCAAGCACUUUGAGCCUUGCAACCCGUGUGCUCUCUGUACCCCAAACCCUAAAAGACAGACUCAGCUCUGGACUGUGGCAUGCUGUGGGUAAAGGCCUGUAGAGCCCUUUCUCCCAUUUGUCUCUGUCUGAGCAAUGGGACAGCCAGCCCUGCUUGACAGUUGAGUCACUAAUUUCAGUCCUUGUUAUGGGUAAUCUGUCAGAGCACUCACUAACAUUUGUCUAACUGCUGAGCUGUCAACGAGCUGCCUGUCAUUCUAACCCAGUUUUUUAAAUGGUCCAAUGGUUCAAGGGUUUGGGAAGGAGGAGGAGGCCAGGUUUUUGUUUACUCAUUUGUUUAACACAGGAAAGAGCAGCUUUUCCGUAUAAUUAGGGCAGAGCAGGCAUUAGGUGGUGUCUGCAGUGGCUGAAAUUCGGCUUGUGAUGAGGUCUGGGAGGUGCAUCUGAGCCUUUCCUCCUUGCAGGGUGGCCUCCCUGCAGGCACACCAGUGUGUGUUUAAUUCCUGCUGCUUUGAGUGAGUUCUCAUAGAGCUGGUUCCCAGCUUGGGUUUGAUGCCAGCCAGGAUCCUCUGGAACAGUGCUGAGCCCUGCUCUGGCAGCCAGCACUAGCAAAGAGGUGCUGGUGCUUCAGAUGGAGCAAAGCUCCUUCUGAGGGCAAGAGAGUUCAGCACUGGCACUGACCUGGGCACAGUGGGCCACAGCAGCCUUCAGCUGAUGGUUCUGCCAUACUGAGCCACAUUUUCUGUGGUGCUUGGGUCUAGCAAAGAGGAGUGCAAGAGACCUUUAACUUGCAGAUUACAGGCUUCAGAGAAACCUGGACGUGGUUCAUAACAGCACAACAUCACUCAGAUGAUGGGGGCUUUCCACAAGACCUGUUGGGUUGUUUAAAUCCCAAGAACUUUGUUUCAGAGCGUGAAGUGAAAUGUAACACUUGCUAUUGCUUGCCUCAAAGCUAUUCUGGACUGGUGGGAGCAGUUUUAGCAUGGUGACCAUUCUAGGAGUGACCACUGUUAGGGCUGAGGCUUUUAAUCUUGCGAUUGCCAUCUGCUCAUCAGGAAUUGCUGGGACACUUGCCAGCAAUCACGGUCUUCUUCACUUUUGCUUUCAUGAGGAUUCUUAAUCAAAACCACAGCCUGUUUGGAGGGCACAGGAACUGCUGAAUUACUGAAUCCUACGAUAGAUUCAGAUUUCACAAGGGACAAUGAGGUGAAACUGGGUAAACUUACCCAGGGGAAGAAAAGCAUUGCAGGUACGUGACCUAGGUCAUGGAAGCACAGUAGGAAGAUGCAGCAAUGAAAACUCAUAAAAGUUGGCCAUAGCUAAGAAAAGUUCCCACCAAAGCAGCUGAAAUGAGAAAAGUAAUUAUCAGCUCCUAACUUCUGUACCCAGGCAUCACAAUGUAAAUGUACUGCUUUCAGUACCCUGCCACGUCUCAACUCUACCUGCAGCAGAAGGAUCUGGCAAAAAAAAAAAUGGAGCAUAGCAUUGACCAAACUCCCCUUGGGCACGGGAGCUGUUUGGUUUGCACUCAUUCCUAGAACUGCCUUCAUUCUGUCACUGAAACUUCACUCUGCUUCAGAGCCAUUGUCAGUGUUUGAGCAGCAUUUGGGCUGUAUGUCCAAAUACAAAGCCAGUGGCUGCUGUUGGACACGUACUAUGCAUCAUUUGCACUGGAUAAAGAGUGUUUGUGUGGGGAGCUGAAGAAGAUGUGCUUAACUCAGAAAUAGCUCUCUUCCUUGGAAAGCUUAAGGUCUGAAUCACGCUGUGUUGGCUCAGUUUUUAGCAGACAAGCUAUCGCAUAUGCCUCACUGUAGGCGAAGAGUUGUCAUUGGCAUCAGCAUCAGCAGCCAGGUCCUAUCCCUUUGGGAACUAGAGAACAGCGAUACUGAGGGCUAAGGGUGACUUCAGGCAGGGCCAGGGGGCCACCGGGGCUGGAGACUUGGGAAGGUGGGCUGGCAACGCAGUGAGAAGCAAGGUUCCACUCCUGUCUGUGCUGGGCCUGCACUGGCCCCCAUGUUCCUCUCUGUUCAAAAGGAGACAGGUAACACACGCUCAAAUUGAACUUUGUUAUUGUAAAGAUGGGGGCAAAAUUAGUUGUUUUGCUCAAGCUCCUUCAGGUAUUAACUAUUCCACUGCUGCCUCUGAAGCUGAGAAGACUAGAGCCAGCCAUAAUGUAUCCAUGGCUGAUGUUGCCCUAAGUCAAGUGAAAAUAAUAGUGACAUGGACAGAUAGAAACACUGGAGAAAAAUGUGGAAACCUGUGAGGGAACAAGACAGCUAUUGAGCUAAGGUACUUGAAAAGGAAAGCAGCAGUAGCUUGCCAGAUGCUGGUGAAGUUGAAGCAGCCUGUAGAGUCCAUCUGGUAACGACUCCAGGGCCAGAAAUGCAAAUACCCUUUUGGUCUUGUUCUGGAACACUCUGUAAGUUGAUGCCCCGUCCUUACAUAGGUACCACUUCUGACUCCCAGCAGUCCAGGGGAAGUCUUGGGGCGGAAAAGAGGAUCAGGGAACUAGUGCAAAGUUUUAGGGUAUAGCUCAAGAAACAAAUUGUAGAUGUGGGGCUUAAGAUGCUUCAGAGAUGCAGGACGUGCACCUACAGUUUUGGACUCGGUGGCCCGCUACUGCAGUUUUAGGACUCCAGCACUGCCACAGUUGCAAGAAAUGAGGAUUAAGAGUUCCUGAACCAACUGGUCGCUGACAAUGAGUCAGGGGAAUGACCUUGCAGCAGGCAGCUCACGGUACCUCUCUCGGAGCUGUGCCAGUAUAAACAGCACUGGCAUCUCUGACUGCUGCUGAAACCAUUUUGUGAGAUUCCCGUGUUGGCCUUUCCUACUGCUGCUUCUGCACCAGAACUUUUGGGUGGAUGAGAACACACUGGAGUAUCCCUGCUUGUUCCAUAACAAGGGCAUCUUCGCAACCUAGGCCUGGGACUGUCUAUAUAAAGAUUGACAGAGGGUAUAGGCGACUCGUAUCUCUUGCCUGCAUCUCUGUCCAUAGCAUCUGUGAUACAGGUACUGAACUGACUUAAAUCUCACCCUCUCCCCAUCCACACCCUUAUUGAACUGUAAGGAAAACACUGUGAACCAGUUUUAGAAAAAAAAUACAUGGGAGUAGUGAAUUUUCUGCAUAGGUCUGGAAGUGAUUUGCAAGAGGAAUGAGGGCAGAACACUUGGCAUUUGGACAUGUUAAUGAAUUUUCCCAAAUAAGAGAAGAAAAACAUUUGCUCGUAGACUUGAAGCUUCUCCCAGCAUCGGGAACGCUCCUGCCACAGAGCCCAACACUCUAUUUGUGCAACAUGGAAAUUAACAGCAGCAGCAGCACCAGUGCUGCAGGCUUAGAGCCUACUCUGCGAGCCACAAAAUGGCCAAGGGUGCUGUCGUCCUCGUUCUCACGCCUUCGGGUGCUGAAAUAGGUGGAUGCGUCUGUCCCUGCCACGUCAGGUAUGGUCACCAAUGUAACAUCAACAUUAAAUUAAUGCUUCUAACCGUAUUCAAGCUUGUGCCCUCAUCAGCUCACCUCCCUAAAGCACCGACAGGAACCAAGAGCAAAUUGGGCUGCGUCACAGAUGUAACAUGACCGUCAGCAGCGCAAGUGCAGGGGGAGAUCAUGGCUGGCUCGCCGGGCAGAGCCUGCCUUCCACAGCACAGAGCCACGGCACGGUCACGCCUUUACAUUUAGCUCCUCAGUGUUUGUCCUUAACUCCUUUACUGAUUUCUGAGGCCCUUGAACAGCCCCAACUCCCCACACGACGGCCGGUGUUUUGCCACCAGACCCAAGGCACUAACAAACACUGCGUCACGGUGCCACACCGAGGCUGCGAGCGAGGGAGCCCCGCUUCACCGAGGAAGGAAACCAAAACACGGAAAAAUGAAUCAGCUGGCACAAUGUCACACACAGGAGUGUCAGAGAGAGGAAGAAACCACAGCUUUCCCAACAGAAACCCCUUCUGGAGCAGGUACAGCCACGUCCAACGAACACACGGCACUGACACCACCCCUAUGCGCAAAAUCGCCACCGUCCUGCGGAAAUGGGCCGUGUCCCCCGCUCAGCCGUGUUUCUUGCCAGUCCCACAGAGUUACCUGCUGACAGGAACCUCGGUUCCUGAGUCGUGCCAUUUACAGACGAAGUUCAACAUUGAGUUAACUCCUCUUUUAUCUCCCGUCUCCUUACCCUCCCUGCGUUUAGUCGCAACUAAACUGCGGCAAAAAGAUGGCCGAGAGAGGAAUCAAACCAAACGCAUCGCGACGCUGAACACGGGCACCCAAAACGUCGGCAAGUGCCUAAGCGAGUAUAAUGGGCUGCUCCUUGCACCUCCUUCCCAAGGACUGCGAAACACCACUACAAACACUGGCUUUGCAGAAUACUGUGGUCCUCCACCCCACAGCUGAGAUGGGGAAAAAUGCAAAGGGUUGUCCGUUCAGACAGCACCAGGAGAACAGACUCAACCCACCCGUCUUCCACGCAACCGACACUCGCUUCUCAGUCCGGCUCCUGCCUGUACGGAAUUACCUCCACGGCUGCCUCGUACCAUUCCCAUGUCUGCGUUUCUGCCUGUCCAUCUUGCUGCAGGGACCACUGUUGUUGCUGCUAUUGCUGUUGUUCCCCUGCUCUGCGGAACUGGCGCUGCAGGAGGCAAGGAUGCUCCAAGGGAACCAGCUACAGCCAGCGGAGGCUCAACUGCCGUGCAGAAGGAUGGGCGACUGCUGAAGUGAUGGAGACGAUGGGCACAGUACGUCUGAGCCAGCUCUGAACCCAGCGGUUGUUGCUAAACAACCAGACCCGCCGCUCGAGAUGUCAGUGAGUGAGUAAUAUAUAUUAAAUGCUUAGGCUACCACAUCCUUAAACUUGUUUAAAUGACAAUAUGAUGAAAGGCUAUGGAAUAAUGUUCCCUGUCAUAUGAGAAAGCAAAGUUACCACUCCACUGCAUAUCAGGAGACUUCCUCGGCCAGAAGGACCAAGCUCAAAGCUGGUUGUGUCCUCAGCACUUGCAGGCAGAGUUGCCAUCUUCGUAGUUGGUCACUUAAAGAAGAGAGGUGAAAAAAUAGUAUAGUCAGUGGUUAAGAGAGAAAAACACUCUCCCCUUCGUUUCCUCAUCUGCUCUCUGGAGCUGCUUUCUGUCCUCGGUCUUCAUCCUUCAUCCUUACCCAGUCCUUCCCAGUCCCUGCCUUCUAACGCCGCUAUUGCUUUUGCAAACCUUUACAGACCCAUCACUUAGGGCUGUCUUCAGCUCUCCCUGAUGUAACCGAGGCUGUGGCAAACUCACACUUAGGCAAACAAAAGCUGAGUUUGGGCAAGAGCAUUUUUCACUUCUUUAUUAUUCCCACAGCAUAAUUUCCAGGUGCAAUCCCUGCCCCAAGCAGUUUGCAGCCCUGUUAAGGCUUAACCCACUUUAUAAGAGAGAAGGAAGAAAGCGAGGAGAAAAGCCCCAACCUCCGUCCUUUCCCCUUCCCCGUGGUUUGCAGCUCUGACACGUCAUCGCCACAGCGGCGCCGCGAAGCGAAAGCUGCAGGGCGCUGGCGUGGGGCACCCAGGGGCACGGGACCCCGCGCCCACCGCACACCGGGGCUGGCUGCUGCCUGCCCACCGGCCCGGCCCAGACUGACGGACAGCGGGGAGCAGUGGGCACGCUCAGCCAAUCCGAGAGGGCUUUUCACCUGCCAUCACCUCCUCCACCAAUCGGGCGGCGGCUUUGGGCCGAGAGCCCUCCCCGGCCAAUGGGGAGCCGGCUCUGCCACUUAGUUAAUGAUGCAGCAGUACAGGGAAGACUAUCACAUGUGAGCUGGACGGCUGCCAGCAUGGAGACACGGAGAGAGCAAGCUGGUGUGGAAGCGUCUGGAAGGCACCGACUACCUGUCCCCAGUGCUUUUAAAAGCUGUCGGCCGUGCCCUGCAAUGAUCACUGCGUCACCGCUCGCCACUUUCCCAGCUACGCAGUGACAAACCUCGGAGCUCUGAAGCACAGAGCGCCUGUUAACCCCUGCGCCAAAGCCUCGCCAACGUGCCAGCCUCCAGAGAGCCGGGGGGGGAGGGAGGAUAAAAGCCCAAACACAACACGAAAACAGCAGCCUGUGCAAAGUUGUCAUCUCUCCCCCACGACUACUACCCUCCUCUGCAGCACAGCAAUGCCGGCAGGAGUGACAUUAGUACAACCUGUGCCGUCACUCCAUUGAGAAAACAGCUCUGACGCAGAACACAGCAAUCCUGCCCAGCCCAAAUAACAACACAGGCGCUUUGGGAUCCGAGCCCGGGGGCGCCGGGGGAAAGGGACACCCUGCAAAUCACCAAAACACGCAAAUGCAGCUCGAGCCCCAUCCUGAUCAAAGGGUACGUACGUGGGAGAGACGAACCGGACGGAGGAGCCGUGCCCGUGCUCCAUCUGCGCAGUGCCCAGCCCUCCGCUCGCCGUGGAACGCCGCAGAAGAGAAGGUUCCAGAAUGUUCCUUUCCGUUAACCCUUGCGGUGUCUGCCCACUCUCCCUCCCCGCGGGAUUAAGCGCGCCGGGUCUCCAGCAUCGUCAAUGGGCGAAGCCUCCUACGCCAACCGAGCCCAAAGACCAUCUCUAAAUGACACUGGAUGGUGGCAGGAGCCCAGUCCCCGAUGUUGGUGUUACUUCUCUUUCCGGAGCCCUCUCUGCCUCUCUUGCUGCCUCUCUCCCCUCUUGCUGCAGCAGGGCUGUUGCUGGUAGACCUAUCGACGGAGCUUGCUCUCUCACUCUCUCGCUGAGCUCUGUGACGCAGCUCUAAAUUCUCCAGCCUGCUCCCUGUGUUAUAAGAGCGGAACUGCAGCUUUCCAGGGAGCCCGUGCCAGCGGUGCCAGGGCCAGGCAAACCGAGGGGAACGUCGCUCCUGGACUCUGCACCUUUUUUUGGUAAUUAUUAUGUUCCUCACCUCUGUUUCUGUGCUUCCUCUAAAGCUCUCAGCCUCGCAUCUCCUUCUCUGCUUCUGAGUCAUAGUUACUAGGUUUAACUCUUUUAGGAUUGGUAGUCAGCAGUACAAAUCUCGAACGAGUGCAGCUGAAACCACAGCCAACUUUGUGGUGGUUUCUGCUUUAAAAAACCAAAGCAAAUCUUCUUGGCUCUAAAAAACAAACACACACACGUUCCAGUCCAGAGUUAGUGCACUUUGAUUAACUGUUUCGGUGACAGGAACCACUGCUUGACUGCCUAAAAGAAAGUAUUUUAGGCCUACGUCUUGCAAAUGCUCUGCUGGCAGUUACCCUGAAGCACAAGGCAACGUAAAAGGAACUGCUCCUGUGAACCAGCGUGGGUAUUCUGGCUGUAAAAGCAUGAGGCUGGACCCACACGACCCUGCUGUGCUGACCGCAAGACAUUGAUCUGCCUGUGGUUCAGCCAGGGUGUAAGAUAAGGUACUGAAAGAGUGAGAAAGAUAUAGGCUCCUCUUAAUCUGAACAGUAUUAAUAAGUGUUAUCGCACACAGGCUCGAAAUGCUCAGCGUGGGCAGGGGAACUAAUAACUGCGUUCCUGGAGUCACCAGAAGCCAACAAUCCCUGUCAGAGCAAAUCCACAGACAGCUACGUAUCUCAGCACAGCAGGCUUCACCAGGCCAGAAGCAUUUUGCAGACGAGCACUCUCUCCUUGCCUCUGCCCCCCAGGACUGUCCCUUGCAGUACCUCCGGUGCCUCAGCUGCCUUCAGCCCCAGGCAGGGAAGCGGUGCUUUCCCGUCUUACAGCCUCAAACCCAGAAAAUGUGGAGGAGGAUCAGUGGUAGAUAGAGCAACUGGGAAUCAAAGAGAAGCUAAUGGAGAGCCAGCACUAUGCAGGGAGUUCAUGCGUCAGGCUGCACGUACAAAGGAGUGAGUGAGAGACAGAGCCAGCAGUCCAUCUGAAAAACACAGACUCCAGAGAGGGAUCACUGCUACACCACUGCAUCUGCCAUUUUAACUCCGGACUUCAGAGCUGGCUGCGAGCUUUGGGUUUUUCACUACAACCAAAGCUGAAGUAACCACUAUAUUUUCUCCUCGCAGCGUCUGAAGAGCCUGCGCUAUUUUGGGAUUUGUCUGUACUACACUGAAAAUGACACCUGCUACGCACAGACACAAAUGAGAGGAAUUGCAAGCUCAGUUGCAAGCUCCCAGCUUCCCAGAUACAAUCCUACAAGAGAAAAAAUCCCCAGCCACCGAAAAAGAAGCAGCUGCACCGAGCUGUGGAUGGGGAGAGCAGCACAGGCUCAGCACGGGGUGCGGGGGAUGACCCCCAUGAAUUAAACAGUCAGAAACCAGCACAAAACAUGUUAAAGGUCUGUUGUAGCUGAUGCAAGGGGAAAUAAAAUCUCCGUGUGACCAGAA